UGCAAAUUAACUCCCUAUUUCAUGGAAGUGAUUAUUUAGAAACUUCAAGAGCCUGAAUCAUACAUUUAUCAUAUGCGAUUCCUUCAACGGGCCUCUACAAAUUUGAUUGAGCCCAAGUUUCUUAAAUCAAUCCAUUAAGUGCUUCUUUAAAUUUCUUUGCUCGAGCUCUUGUAAUGGGUCCGACGGGAACUUGAAUAAGAUCUUAAUAUGCCUCAUCCCACGUGCUUGUGAUAGUUUUAUCCUUAAUCUCAUCAAGCACGGCACGACACAAGUAUGAGCACGUAUGAAUCUUUCUUUGGUGCCCAUGAGAGAAAACAUCGUAGACUUCUUAUCCUAAAUCAUAUCAAAACAACCUACAGCAAAGUAGUCUUCGGCAAAAGGAAAAAAAAGAAAAGAAAUAGUAGUUGUCAUUUCGUAUAAAUUGUAAACUAAAGGUGGUGCAGAGCUAUUAUCUUAAAUUUUUGGUGGCUAAUUAUAUUUUUGACGUCUAAUAGAUGGUUUGCAAGAUAAAUUCCUAAAAAGAUUUUAAUGGUAUAGUCUUUAAUUAUUAUGUUUAUGUUUUAGUAUUAUUGAUUUACUGUAUUUCUUAAUCAUUAAUUGUUCAGUUGCAGUUGCCAUAAGUUGAAUUUCGAUAAUUCCUCUUCUUUUAGCUCAUUCUGAUGCAAUUUAAAAUUAUCACUCAAGUCAAUAUAUUGAGAAGGGUGAGAAUAUUUACAAUACAAAAAAUAUUCUGCACAUUUUUAUUUUAAUAAAUUAUUCUAUUACAAAAAUACACAUCAUAUGAAUUACUAAUAAGGACUCUUUUUUAUAAAUUAAUAUUAUAUAAUUACUCUAAAUACUCAUAUAGUACACUCGUUAUUCAAUAUAUAAUUCUUUUGGCAUAAGCCCUAAAAAUUUUUCCAAUCUCUUAAACAAUAUUUAGUUAAACUAGGAACUAGGAGCAAAUGAAUACUUUUUAUAUAUUUUGAACAUAUUUAUGCUUUUUAGUUUUUUAAAAAUAUUUUUUGCAGUCUUCUCCUUCUUCUUUGUGUUAUUUUCUUCUUUCUUGCUUUCUUUCUUUCUUUCUUUCUUUUUUUCCCUUUUUGGGCCAAAUAACCAUUUUUUCUAAUUGUUGGGUUAAAAAUUUGGGGUUUAAAAACCAAUGCUGAACAUAUUCUUUAAUAAACAAAAGCUAAUAAAUAAAACUUAUGUUAAAAAAUUUCUUUAGAACAUACUUUGAUUCCAUUGCAAUGUAUUCUAAAUUAUUACUAAUUUAUUUUGGAUGUGCUUAAUAGUUUGAUUGGUGUUUUGAGUAAAUUAAUUUAGCGAGUUUCAGUAAGGUCCUUUUUGGUAUUUUAAAGUUUGAAGAAAAUAAAACUUAAUCUUUUUAAAUUUAGCACAUAAGUAUUCAAGGUGAUUGAUUGUUUAGACUAAGGUCAUGUCUAUCCCAAACUCACCCAUAGACAUUUACCCCACAUAAAAAUAUCCUUAUUUUUUCUUUCUUAUAUUAUAUACGAUAAAAUUUAAAAUUUAUGGUAUUUUAUAUAUUAAAAUUUUAAAAUAAUUAUGUAUUCAUUUAAAAAUGGUUUUACUUAUAAAUGUUAAAAUAUUGUGGUAUUUAAUAUAUUAUUUAUUUGACAUUCAAAUUUAAUAAGGAUACAAAUGUAAAAGUAUAUAUUUUUAGCUUUUUAAGUUGAAAAAAACAAACAAAUUAAUACUUAUUUUCAAAAAAAAAACAACUUAAUACUUAUUUUAUGAGAUUCAGACAAAAAAACAAACAUACUAUUCAGAUUCAGACAUUCAGAUCUAUUCAGAAUUCAGACUAAUUCAUGUCUAUUCAGAUUUCAGACAAAAAAACAAACGCCACCUAAGUUUUAGAGUGCAAAUAGCUUGUCUUACUGAGAACAAGUUUCAUAAUUCAAAAAUAUUAAACCUGAUAAUCAUUCUAGUGCCGUGCAAUGAUGAACUUUUAAGACAAUGUUACUAAUAAAUGGAGUUAUAAAAUUGGGAACGGUUGAAAAUUGGAAUAGGACUAAUAUGUUCAAAAUUGAAACUAUUUAUGCGAUAAAGGAAUUUACUAACACCAAAGGAUCUUAUUGAUAUUUUGGACAUAAAGGCGAUGCCAAUUUAAUCCGAUCCCUGCCCAAACCUAGAUGAACCCAGAGAAUAGGCUGGCUUCAACCCAAACUGGAGCAAAUUUUAUAUGGAAUUCGGAUGCAAAUUACUGAACCCAGACGUAUCCAGAUCCGGGUCUGGGUUUAUGUUAACCCAUAGAUACAGAAUCUAGACCCGGAAGCUUUUAUUUUAAUAUUAAUUUUUUUAGAUUAUAUAAUACAAAUAGAAAAGUACAAAAAAGGCCCAAGUGCCCUAGUUGCAUUCAUAGCUGCGGCUGCCAAAGCCAACAUUUCCUGUCUGUCUCUUUUCAGGUCUUUUCUUCAUCAAAUUAAAUCAUCGUUGUCAUCGCUUCACUAUCUUUGCGGUUGUGUUCAUCUCAUCAUCAUCAUCAGCCAUCAUUUCUUCUUCCCUGUCACAGCCAGUAACAAGUUGUGAUACGAGUUGAACGCCACCUUCGCUAAUCGUGAUCGUGGCUGUGUUUAAUGUACAUCGUCACUAGCUGCUAUCGGGACCAGUAACCAGCCCCGAUACAGGUUGAACUAGCUAGCCUUCGCCGUUCGUGUUGCUUCGUGGGAUGUUGAUUCCUUGAAGUUCGCUUUGAAACUUUAAGUUUUAGAAUUUAGAUUGCGUAUUUGUAUUUGAUUUUUUUAGAACCUAGAUUUGUAUUUAUAUUUGAUUUAGAUUUAUUCUUUUUUUUUUUUUUUUUUAAAAAGAAACUUUAAACAGGUCGAUUACAAAAACAAUCUUUUGAUUUCAUUCUCUGAACUUUACAAGCAAUUUGGGUUUAAAACUUGCAAUCUGGGAAUCUGAAUUUUUCUGGGUUGAACCCGAACCGAACUUGCAUUGGAAAAAAACCUGGUUCAUAAUCGGGUCUAGUACAACAAAUUGGCAUCUGGGUUUGGAAUCGAGAAGGCCGAACCUAGACCCAGACCUAGAUUUUAGCAUCCCUACACAAGGCAUUUAUUACUCAUGGCUCAAUCUUCGUACUCUUCUUGUUUUUCACUCACCACUUGAUUCCUAAACCAUAUCACCUUUAAGGGUAUUUAUAGUAAGUGAAAGCAAAAUAAAAGCCACACAACUGAAAAAUUAAAAAGAAAAUUACCUCAUUCUAAACUUACCAUUAAUUUCUUAAUGAUCACCAAAUUUUACAACUACCACCACCAAUCAUUCAAGAUAUUUGACCAAAGAUAAUUCUAGAUAAACUGAGAAAAUAUUCUCUUUUGUUGGAUUUAUUAUUUAGGCUCAUGAAAUUGGUGUUGGCCUUUAAGUAAGAACAAUUCUCAAAACCCAAUAACCUAAAUACAAUUAGAUCCCCUCUAGAAUAGUUAAGAAAACGCUCUCUCAAAAUUCUAGGUAAAAGCUCACUAUUAAAAU
rnacentral:lncRNA from 1 species